AUCUAAUUGAUGAGUCUUGAAUAGGACGAAACAUGCGUCAAACUAGAU
rfam:Schistosoma mattheei strain Denwood, Zambia genome assembly, scaffold: SMTD_scaffold0021206